rnacentral:lncRNA from 1 species
UUGACAGCAAUUCUUUGUCAUACCAGCAGAAACCAGAGCAGGCCUCAUCUUGACUGCUGCAGUUUUUCUUACAGAUCCUGAACAGUGUCAUAGAACAGUUGUAGCACAGCUGAGUCCCUAUAACAAAGCGGGUUUCAUCAGCCAUGUGCCCUUCCCAGACAGAACUUUAUUAACUCUUUUGGAAAAGGGUACCCUUUGGCUCUAGUGAUAACCUGCUUCUUGGUGAACAACCAUAGCCCACUGUCACCUGCCACCUUCCUCACUGGACCAUCUUACCCACUUCCUUUUAGUUCUUAAGAUGUAACAGGAUCUGUGGCCUCUCAGCUAGCCCUGCUAGCACUAGAGAAGGUAGGUCAGGUGGCCAAGGCCUUGUUUGAUCAUGACAUUGUCUCCAGUGAGAAAGCUGACAGCAGGUACCCAGCACCUGAGAUACUGCAUCAAGACAAGAAACAUGAGCAGACAAAAACCCCUAAUUGGUAGGUUUCAUAGCCUGAGUCUUCUUAAGUGACUCAGGUUUUGAACCCUAGGAAGAAUAUGGAAGUUGGAUGUUUUCUUCUAGUCUCAUGAGGCACAUUCCUAAGGGAGUGUUGUCAAGUCAACCGAAAUUGCUUUCCUAUUAAAUGUGCUCACCUCUACCUUGGGAGGCCUAUGGGUAUUCCCGAGAGCCCCUGGCAGAAGCGCUGCACUAGUUUAAGCACAGGGGUUUUAACUGUUUUCAGCUGCAUCCAUCCAGGACCAGCUACCAGGCUUCUAACUGGCUGGCGUCAGCUAACCAUUUAAUGCCAUGGCAUGAAGCAAACAAGGAGCUGAGGCCUUGGCUUUCUUAGAGGACCAAGAUGUACAUCUGUGAUACUGGCCACUUGAGGGACAGGUUGUGUUCUUGGUGUAGCAGGCUCCACCCACCCCUGGAGAGUUUUCACUGUCUUGUGUUGUUUACUUUUUAACCAGUACACCCUUCUCUCAGCAAAGAGAAGUGUUUCUGUGGCUGUGUAAUGCCUAUGUAACAGAAACAGAAGCUACAAUUUGGGCACAAUCAGAGAAAAAAAAAAUAAACAUUUUAUAUUUAUUGUGGGACAGGAGGAGAGUGGCAGGAUGAGCAAAGCAUGAGCCCUGAUGCUGCUUUGUCAGUUUUAGACCUUGUGAGUUUUACUCCAAAUCCAGCCUGACCAACCCUCAAGUACCCCUCAACCCCCCCCUAAUCUCAGCCAAAGGGUGGCCAGAAUGCUCCUUAAAGGUCCCAUCCAUGGGGAUAGAGAUGUUUUCCCCUAUCCCCGAACCCUUCUGCCCCCUUGUUAUCCUCACAAAGCCUUUAGCAACUUCAGGCCAGGCUCAAGUGACUGAGUCACCGUAUGUCUGUCCUGGGGUUUGCUGUGGGAAGGCAGUGUUCUCUCACUGUGCAGGCUCUGCCUUCCUUACAAGUCCUCUGGUCUGGCCAAAGCUGAAGAGGAGGAAAGGGAAACCCCACUUUGGUAAAAGAAAACAAAAGGCCAUAAACAAAGACAGACUUGUAGUUUAUUUUGUAUUUUUUUUUAAAUAAAUACACUUUACAUUAAAGAAAAAGACCUUUGAUUUGUAAUUUCCACAUUGGGGAGAAAGGGAAGGAAAAAAAAGACUUGAAAAACUGAAUCACAAAGAGAAAAGAGAGGGAGUGAAUUUAUACCCCUAAAGUUCUCUCAACUCCACAAAACCAGGGUCCACAUGACUGACUGCUGCCUGGCCACCAAGGCAGGGAGCUAGGCAUUUUCCCCAGUGCUCAGGCCACAACUUCUUCCCGCACUGGCACAAAGGA